rnacentral:rRNA from 1 species
CCUACGGGAGGCAGCAGUGGGGAAUAUUGCACAAUGGGCGAAAGCCUGAUGCAGCGACGCCGCGUGAGGGAUGACGGCCUUCGGGUUGUAAACCUCUUUCAGCAGGGAAGAAGCGAGAGUGACGGUACCUGCAGAAGAAGCGCCGGCUAACUACGUGCCAGCAGCCGCGGUAAUACGUAGGGCGCAAGCGUUGUCCGGAAUUAUUGGGCGUAAAGAGCUCGUAGGCGGCUUGUCACGUCGGGUGUGAAAGCCCGGGGCUUAACCCCGGGUCUGCAUUCGAUACGGGCUAGCUAGAGUGUGGUAGGGGAGAUCGGAAUUCCUGGUGUAGCGGUGAAAUGCGCAGAUAUCAGGAGGAACACCGGUGGCGAAGGCGGAUCUCUGGGCCAUUACUGACGCUGAGGAGCGAAAGCGUGGGGAGCGAACAGGAUUAGAUACCCUGGUAGUCCACGCCGUAAACGGUGGGAACUAGGUGUUGGCGACAUUCCACGUCGUCGGUGCCGCNGCUACGACAUACGUCCCGUCCGUGGGAGGUACGGCCGCGAGACGUAAACGUACGAAGUAAGUAGUACGGCGUUGUAGACGUUGCCGACGGCGACGACGAGGGAGAGG